rfam:Bacteroidales bacterium Barb6XT Barb6XT_contig_131, whole genome shotgun sequence.
AGGAAAGAAAAGAAGGGCAGACGGCGGAUGCCUAGGCUCUCGGAGGCGACGAAGGACGCGGUAAGCUGCGAAAAGUCCGGGUGAGGCGCAAACAGCCCUUGACCCCGGAAUGUCCGAAUGGGGCAACCCGUCAGGCUGAAGGCCUGACACCUCUGUAACGGAGGAGCGAACGCGGGGAACUGAAACAUCUAAGUACCCGCAGGAAGAGAAAACAAAAGUGAUUGCGCAAGUAGCGGCGAGCGAACGCGCAGAAGCCCAAACCGUUGUUGUUUCGGCAAUAACGGGGUUGUAGGACUGCAAAAUGGCAAGAAAUCAGACAAGCGGAACGUUUUGGAAAGAACGGCCAAAGAGGGUGAAAGCCCCGUAUGCGGCUGUCUGAUGAAGCCUGGCAGUAUCCUGAGUAGCGCGGGACACGAGAAAUCCUGUGUGAAUCGGCGGGGCCCAUCCCGCAAGGCUAAAUACUCCCGAGAGACCGAUAGUGAACCAGUACCGUGAGGGAAAGGUGAAAAGCACCCCGGACAGGGGAGUGAAAAAGUUCCUGAACCCGUCUGCCUGCAAGCGGUCGGAGCAUCGAAAUGAUGUGACGGCGUGCCUUUUGCAUAAUGAACCUGCGAGUUGUUUUCUGUGGCAAGGUUAAGCGUUUAAGACGCGCAGCCGAAGCGAAAGCGAGUCUGAAUAGGGCGUUUGAGUCACAGGGAGCAGACGCGAAACCAAGUGAUCUACCCGUGUCCAGGUUGAAGGUUGGGUAACACCAACUGGAGGACCGAAUCGUUAAGCGUUGAAAAGCUUUCGAAUGAGGUGCGGGUAGGGGUGAAAGGCUAAUCAAACUUGGAGAUAGCUCGUACUCCCCGAAAUGCAUUUAGGUGCAGCCUCUGUUAUAUUGGUAUGAGGUAGAGCGACUGAUUGGAUGCGAGGGCUUCACCGCCUGUCAAUUCCGGAUAAACUCCGAAUGCGUACCAAGAAAAGACAGGGAGUGAGGGCGCGGGUGCUAAGGUCCGCGUCCGAGAGGAGAAGAAUCCAGACCGCCGGCUAAGGCCCCCAAAUAACGGUUAAGUUGAACUAACGAAGUCGUACUGCAAAGACAGCCGGGAUGUUGGCUCGGAAGCAGCCAUUCAUUCAAAGAGUGCGUAACAGCUCACCGGUCAAGCAGUGCGGCGCGGAUAAUACUCGGGCAUAAACCGUUUGCCGAAGCCGCGGAUGUGUGAAGAACACAUGGUAGGGGAGCAUUCCGCGCAGUGUAGAAGAUAAGGGACGACCCUUGUUGGAGCGUGCGGAAAAGCAAAUGCAGGUAUAAGUAACGAUAAAGGAAGCGGGAAACUUCCUCGCCGAAAGACCAAGGGUUCCUGAUCAACGCUAAUCGGAUCAGGGUAAGUCGGGCCCUAAGGCGCAGCCGAAAGGCGUAGCCGACGGAAGAAAGGGUUAAUAUUCCCUUACUGCCUUAACGAGCGAUGCGGGGACGGAGAAGUGAAAGUCCUGCCGUCUGACGGAACAGACGGUUAAAGGGUGUAGGCGCAGAUCGCGGACAGGCAAAUCCGCCGCGAGAGCCGAACCUGAAAGUAUGCCAAGCGCUUGCGCAAGGCAAUAACGGAUGUAAUCAGGCUCCCAAGAAAAUCCGCUAGGCAUAUUGUUAAGGCACCCGUACCGUAAACGGACACACGUGGUCGGGUAGAAAAUACUAAGGCGCUCGGUAGAUUCACGGUUAAGGAACUAGGCAAAACAGUCCUGUAACUUCGGGAGAAAGGACGCCUGCAGGAAUGCAGGCCGCAGAGAAUAGGCCCUGGCGACUGUUUAACAAAAACACAUGGCUGUGCAAAAAGGAAACUUGAGGUAUACAGCCUGACACCUGCCCGGUGCCGGAAGGUUAAGAGGAGAGCUCAGGAGCAAUCCGAAGGUUUGAAUUGAAGCCCCGGUAAACGGCGGCCGUAACUAUAACGGUCCUAAGGUAGCGAAAUUCCUUGUCGGGUAAGUUCCGACCUGCACGAAUGGUGUAACGAUCAGGGUACUGUCUCAACCGUGAGCCCGGUGAAAUUGUAGUAUCGGUGAAGAUGCCGAUUACCCGCGAUGGGACGAAAAGACCCCGUGAACCUUUACUAUAGUUUUACAUUGAUUUUGGGCACCGAAUGUGUAGGAUAGGCCGGAGGCAGUGAAGCGGGUACGCCAGUAUCUGUGGAGUCAACGUUGAAAUACGGCCCUUUCGUUGUCCGGGUUCUAACUCUCCAAAGAGGAGAGGACAUUGUAUGGCGGGUAGUUUGACUGGGGUGGUCGCCUCCAAAAGCGUAACGGAGGCUUCUAAAGGUGCGCUCCGGCCGAUUGGUAACCGGUCUUGGCAGUGUAAUGGCACAAGCGCGCUUGACUGUGAGGGAAACAUCCCGGACAGGCAGGAAACUGGAGCAUAGUGAUCCGGCGGUACCGUAUGGAAGGGCCGUCGCUCAAAGGAUAAAAGGUACUCCGGGGAUAACAGGCUGAUCGCUCCCAAGAGCUCAUAUCGACGGAGCGGUUUGGCACCUCGAUGUCGGCUCGUCACAUCCCGGGGCCGGAGAAGGUCCCAAGGGUUGGGCUGUUCGCCCAUUAAAGUGGCACGCGAGCUGGGUUCAGAACGUCGUGAGACAGUUCGGUCUCUAUCUAUCGCGGGCGCAGGAGAUUUGAGGGGUGCUGACACUAGUACGAGAGGACCGUGUCGGACGAACCGCCGGUAAACCGGUUGUACCGCCAGGUGCACGGCCGGGUAGCUGCGUUCGGAAGGGAUAAGUGCUGAAAGCAUCUAAGUACGAAGCCCGCCUCAAGAUAAGAUCUCCACAGAGGGUCGUCGAAGACUACGACGUUGAUAGGCCGCAGGUGUAAAUGCAGCAAUGUAAAAGCCGAGCGGUACUAAUUGCCCGAACACUUUCCGCG